UUUCGGAUGAAGCUUGAACUUAGAUCUUCAACUUGAAUAGAAUUGCUUCAACCACUAUUCCUCCAACCUCAAUUGGAUAUGACCGUGAAUGCGCAAUUCCAUCCAUCUUCCAACAUAUUAUUUACUUAGAAUAAAUACAAAAACACAAACACUAGACAAACAAUAUUAGUUGUAAAUUAUUUAUUAAACAUCAUCAAAACAAAAAGGCCAACACACAUGACUUUUGUUUACAAUAUGCACAUUCUCUUCAUCCAAAUCACAAGGUUCCAAGUCAUGCACAAAUCAUAAAGUUAAGUAUGAAAAUUUAUGAUGAAUAUAAAAGAUCUUUUAUUUGAUUUAUUUGCCACAUCUUUCAUAAGAUUGAGCUUGACAAUGGAUAAAUGGAAAUCAUCUCCACAAAAUUUGGUAUAUUUGUGCAUUACCGCUCACUAUGUUGAUGAAUCUUGGAAACUUUAAAAACAUACAAUUGGUUUUAUUAAAGUCCAUAACUCCAUGGGGAAGGAUAUAUGCAAUGUGUUAAUCACUCAUUUAUUUGAUUGGAAAAUUGAUAAUAAAGUUUUGUCAAUUAUGGAAGAUAAUGAUAAAGCGAAUGAUGUUGCUGUUAAAAUUGGGAAAGAACAUCUUAAAAAGUAUCUAACUUGUGGUGGAGUCUUUUUCAUGUGAGAUGUGAAGCACAUAUUAUAAAUCUCAUUGUUCAAGAGGUGCUUAAAAUUAUCACUAAAGCUAUUGAAAAAGUAAGGAUUAGUGUUAAAUAUGUACAUGUUCACCGAAGAUGGAAGAGAGCUUUUGUCAUAUUGCGAAGCAAGUUAAUGUGGUUGGAGAAAAAUGCUUAGCCCUUGAUUGUUGCACAAGAUGGAAUUCUACUUAUCUAAUGUUGAUGAAUGCUUUAAAGUACAAAGUUUCUUUUCAUAAAUUUGAACUUAGCGAUGACAAAUACAUUCAUUGUUCAUCGGAGGAAGAAUGGAAUUAUAUUGAAACUUUGAGUAAAUGUUUGAAACAUUUUUAUGAUGCAACUAAUCCCCUCUCCGGUAGUAUGUAUCCUACUUGCAAUCUUUUAUUUGAAGGAUUUUGUGAAAUUCAAUUGUUUCUAACGGAAUGGUUGAAAAGUAAAGAUGAUAUAAUUGUGGCUACAGCUUUUGCAAUGAAAAAAAGUUUGAUAGAUAUUGGAGCAUGCAAUAAGAUUUUUAUGGUGGCUACUUUUCUUGAUCCGAUGUACAAAAUGAUUGCAAUGAAAUAUUACUUUAAGGAGAUUUAUGGUGUGCAUGGUAAAAGGUGUACACUUGAAAUUUUAGAUGUCAUCAAAAAGAUGCAUGGAGAGUAUGCAUCUCUUGAAAAAAAAACCAUCCAAAAAUGAUGAAAAUGGUUCAAGCUCACAAGCAAAGGAAGUGGAAAGAGUUGGUCACAAAAGAAAAUCUAGAUUUACACAAUUUGUUGAAACUAUUGAGAAAGAGCCUAUAAAGAAGGAUUUGAAUUUAUAUAUGGAAGAGAGUAUUGUCCGAUGCGAAGAUGAAACAAUGGGAAAAUUUGAUAUAUUGGAUUGGUGGAAAUCAAGUCUUGGAAGGUAUCCUAUACUAGCAAAAAAUGCAAGAGAUGUUUUGGGUAUACCGCAUCAACCGUGGCUUCCGAGUCGGCUUUUAGCACUAGGGGCGUCUGAUUCAUUGUUAUAGAAGUCGAACGACAAUGGAUACUGUAAAGGCAUUGAUAUUUGUACAAGAUUGGAUUAAAGCGGAGAAAGGAGUUACAAAAGUGAAAAACUAUGAAUGAUGAUGCUCUUGAUGUGGUUAAGCUUCCAGAUCACGACGACUCAGAGAUUGCCGAAACUUUUAUAAAAGCACCCAUAGGUGGACAUCAUGGAGGUCCUUGACUUGGAUGAUGAGAUUUAUGUUUCUCUUGCAUUAAUGGGUAUCAUCUUUUGGUUUAUAUUUUCUUUUCAAGAACAUGAUUGUCUAAGUUUGCAUGCUUUUUUGCAUAGGGAACUACAUUGUAGAACUUGUGGGUUUUUAAUUUAUUGUAUGUGACUUUGCUCAUGUUAAGUCUGUAUGUGACUUUAUUUCCAGAUUUUUGACUUGUUAUUUCUGGAUUUGUGACUUGUUGU